AACGAACGCUGGCGGCAGGCUUAACACAUGCAAGUCGAACGGGCAUAGCAAUAUGUCAGUGGCAGACGGGUGAGUAACACGUGGGAACCUUCCUAGAGGUACGGAACAACGCAGGGAAACUUGUGCUAAUACCGUAUACGCUCGAGAGAGGAAAGAUUUAUCGCCUUUAGACGGGCCCGCGUAGGAUUAGGUAGUUGGUGAGGUAACGGCUCACCAAGGCUACGAUCCUUAGCUGAUCUGAGAGGAUGAUCAGCCACACUGGGACUGAGACACGGCCCAGACUCCUACGGGAGGCAGCAGUGGGGAAUCUUGGACAAUGGGCGCAAGCCUGAUCCAGCCAUGCCGCGUGAGUGAAGAAGGCCUUCGGGUUGUAAAGCUCUUUUACCAGGGACGAUAAUGACGGUACCUGGAGAAUAAGCCCCGGCUAACUUCGUGCCAGCAGCCGCCGUAACAC
rnacentral:rRNA from 1 species